GACGAACGCUGGCGGCGUGCUUAACACAUGCAAGUCGAACGGAAAGGCCCUGCUUUUGUGGGGUGCUCGAGUGGCGAACGGGUGAGUAACACGUGAGUAACCUGCCCUUGACUUUGGGAUAACUUCAGGAAACUGGGGCUAAUACCGGAUAUGAGCUCCUGCUGCAUGGUGGGGGUUGGAAAGUUUCGGCGGUUGGGGAUGGACUCGCGGCUUAUCAGCUUGUUGGUGGGGUAGUGGCUUACCAAGGCUUUGACGGGUAGCCGGCCUGAGAGGGUGACCGGCCACAUUGGGACUGAGAUACGGCCCAGACUCCUACGGGAGGCAGAAGUGGGGAAUAUUGCACAAUGGGCGGAAGCCUGAUGCAGCAACGCCGCGUGCGGGAUGACGGCCUUCGGGUUGUAAACCGCUUUCGCCUGUGACGAAGCGUGAGUGACGGUAAUGGGUAAAGAAGCACCGGCUAACUACGUG
rnacentral:rRNA from 1 species